UUCACCCCUUCUUCUCUUUCUUCCUCCUUCCCCACUUUUCCUUUGUCUCCCCCUCAUUUUUCUCUUCCCUCAAUAAGCUCCUCAUGGGUUUGUUGAGUCUUGUGGUUCGUGUUCCAUCGUGCAGUAAAUUAAGCAAAAGAACAUUUUGGUGCCGAGACUCGCUCAGGCUCUCUCCGUAAUUUCUCCAGCUGGCAGCGAGAGACACUCAGAGACACUGAUCCCAAACCAACAACCCACGUUCCAUCUACCCGUCUGCUGGGACCCUCAGGCAACAUCGGCUACAAUUUGCUUUCUGCCUUUGCUGUUACGGAUUACUGCCUUCUCCCUUCCUUCGGCCUGUGCAGAGGGACAGCCUAGCCAGCUUCUGCCAACGAACCUUACUGCCAGGCAUAAAACCUAGCCUGUUCCAUCUGCAGCGGAUCUGCUUUCUUGUCGCUGGCAGUUUUAAAUCUACUCUGUCUCCUUAAAUGUCCUGUCUGUUUGGUGCAACAUGAGAAUCAGAGAUCACACUCUGGUUCUUCCUUCUUCCUUUCACCCAGUCCUGUUUGAUAUAACUGCGUACAUCUGGACAUGUGAUUUAAAUUUAACUUUAUAUAUGUGAAUGUAAGCUAACUUUAUGUGCAACUUAAAUUCAACUGUGCUGUCUCAAAUAUUUCUAAAUUGGUAUGUAUCUUUAAAUGAUGGUAAACAUUUAAGGUUAUAAAGAUCUAUUUCAAAUUAACAAAAUAUAUACACCACCCAGUCCUUCCUAUAAGCUGUUUACAAAGGUUAAGCUUCUAUUGCAAAAGGGAAUUUUUCUCUACUUCUUUGUCCUUCACAGGCAUAAAUCUAACCUACUAAGUUAAAACCAGUUGCAGUCAGGCUGGAGGGCUCUGAGUAAAACAUCUGUCCACAGCCUCUCAGCUUGGAUCCAGUUCUCUAGACAGAUCCUUCACUAAUUUAUUAAUUACAGGAAUAAAGCCUUACCUAGCCAUCUAUAUGCUUAAGGCAAGUAACUAAAGACAGUUUUUUUUGUGUGUGUGCUGAGAUAUACUGAACAGACAGACAGCCCUCACAUGCUCAGAGAUGUAGAGAAUAUGGCAUUUAAAAUAUUUUAUUUAAAAGCUUUUCUAACAGAGAUAGGCCAGCUGCUUGCCCUACCCCAUUUCCUCCAAGAAGACUGGACACUGAAGAAAUUCCACCCACAAAAGUAGCAAUGCUGGCCACUGAGAAACCCUGCCUUUCACCUCAACUGCAGCAGAGGACUCUUCAGACCAUGGACAAGAGGACAGUGGAAUCGACUUUCUCCACGUUGUUUGGGCCAACAGUAGACAAGUCUUCCUAAAGCUCCCAAUCCACAGGUCCCAGGCUAUCAGCAGAAGGCAGGUGUCCUUAAAGCCUCUGACCUCAACAACUGUGGAGGGUUUAGAGCAGAUGUCCAUGCUGCCAGUUAGUAAGUAUCUGUUAUUCUGUAGUCAUUAAUCCAGGUAAAAUUUAUCCUUCUCAAGACCUCUGAUGGCUGUAACUUCUUACCAUCCUUUUCUUUAAAAAAUGUUUUAAGGUAUAACAAGCUGACUUAAGGUGUACAAAUGCAAGUUAUCAGAUUUCUCUCUCUCUCUCUCAUUAUGCUACGGCUCAUAGUCUUAACAUUAAUCAAUAAAGUUCUGAAAAGCCAUUAAUCCAACUCUGACAGGAUACUAAACACCAUACUAUAUAUACGACUAUACAAUCCUAACAGAAAGGUCAAGAUUAAGGUGCUUUUCAUUGUGUUAAAGA